UUUACUUUGAAAACACUGCUUUUUGUUUCUGCAGGGUUGAUGAGUUCAAGAUGAUUAAAACUUCCUGUGUUUCCAGUGUAAAACCAGACACGCAGCCUAGUUUGUCGGAGGACAACACAAAGAUGAUCAAGUCAAGUUUCACACCUGAAGUCUACUGUGAAUCUGCACACUUCUUCUACAG